UGGGGAAUCAUGGUCAAUGGGCGAAAGCCUGAACCUGCGACGCCGCGUGAGUGAUGAAGGUCGUAAGAUCGUAAAACUCUUUUCAGGGAUCUUAAAGCCUGUCUGUCAACAACAGGCAGGUCUGACUCUCCCUGGAAGAAGCCCCAGCCAACUACGUGCCAGCAGCAGCGGUAAUACGUAGGGGGCGAGCGUUAUUCGGAAUUACUGGGUGUAAUGGGUAUGUAGGCGGCCCUUCAAGUCGCGUGUCAAAGUCCAGGGCUCAACGCUGGGUGUGCACUCGAGACUGACGGGCUUGAGGGCUGGAGAGGUGAGCGGAAUUCCCGGUGUAGUGGUAAAAUACGUAGAGAUCGGGAGGAACACCAGCGGCGCAGGCGGCUCACUAGACAGUUUCUGACGCUAAGAUACGAAAGCGUGGGGAGCAAACA
rnacentral:rRNA from 1 species